rnacentral:misc_RNA from 1 species
GAUGAAGAACGUAGCGAAAUGCGAUACGUAAUGUGAAUUGCAAAUUCAGUGAAUCAUCGAGUCUUUGAACGCACAUUGCGCCCCUUGGUAUUCCGGGGGGCAUGCCUGUCCGAGCGUCAUUGCUGCCCUCAAGCACGGCUUGUGUGUUGGGCCCCGUCCUCCGAUCCCGGGGGACGGGCCCGAAAGGCAGCGGCGGCACCGCGUCCGGUCCUCGAGCGUAUGGGGCUUUGUCACCCGCUCUGUAGGCCCGGCCGGCGCUUGCCGAUCAACCCAAAUUUUUAUCCAGGUUGACCUCGGAUCAGGUAGGGAUACCCGCUGAACUUAAGCAUAUCAAUAAGCGGAGGA